AAUUUUAAAUGAUAAAAGUAUAUUGAUUGUUUAUAAUAAUGUGUUCAUAUUUGCAAUCAACGUGCUACACUUAUUACCAAAUUCACAAUUGCCUUUACUUUUUAGCACUGUGGGACAACCUUUACAGAAUCUAAAAUUCGUCAGCUUAUAACCAACCAGGCACCAACAUGGAAAAGAAACCGCUGAUAAUGCCCCAACUUAAACCUCCCUGUUUUGGAUAUAAGAUGCUGGAUGGAGUUUUUAAUCAGGCGUUUCUUUGCGUUGAUGGGAAACAUUGAAACGCUUUGGUUUCAAUGGUUUUACGACCAGUUAAUCACACUAAUUGCAUUUUCUUUCCUUUUUCUGUUCUUUUCGCUUUAAAUGUAAAUAAAUAAUGACGUGUUA